rnacentral:sRNA from 2 species
CAUUCCUUCAAAGGGGAGUAGCUGCAAGUUUAAACACUUGAACCAAAGUCGUCAUUACGUGGAUACUAUCCACCGGCUUUGUUUGGCAUGAUACAUACUAUGUCUAGCAAGACCUUUGCCUCGUUUUCAAAACCAAGGCAGAGGUCUUUUUUAUGUUCUCUCUUCCUCGCU